rnacentral:rRNA from 1 species
AAUCUCGGAAAGCCGGUCUCAGUUCGGAUUGGGGUCUGCAACUCGACCCCAUGAAGUCGGAGUCGCUAGUAAUCGCAGAUCAGCAACGCUGCGGUGAAUACGUUCCCGGGGCUUGUACACACCGCCCGUCAAGUCAUGAAAGUCGGUAACACCCGAAGCCGGUGGCCUAACCUGUGUGGGGGAGCCGUCGAAGGUGGGACUGGUAAUUAGGACUAAGUCGUAACAAGGUAGCCGUACCGGAAGGUGCGGCUGGAUCACCUCCUUUCUAAGGAG